rnacentral:rRNA from 1 species
UACGAGGGGGGCGAGCGUUGUUCGGAAUUACUGGGCGUAAAGCGCACGUAGGCGGCUUUCUAAGUCGGGGGUGAAAUCCUGGAGCUCAACUCCAGAACUGCCUUCGAUACUGGAAAGCUCGAGUCCGGGAGAGGUGAGUGGAACUGCGAGUGUAGAGGUGAAAUUCGUAGAUAUUCGCAAGAACACCAGUGGCGAAGGCGGCUCACUGGCCCGGUACUGACGCUGAGGUGCGAAAGCGUGGGGAGCAAACAGG